rnacentral:rRNA from 1 species
UACGGAGGGUGCGAGCGUUGUUCGGAAUUACUGGGCGUAAAGGGCUCGUAGGUGGCCAACUAAGUCAGACGUGAAAUCCCUCGGCUUAACCGGGGAACUGCGUCUGAUACUGGAUGGCUUGAGUUCGGGAGAGGGAUGCGGAAUUCCAGGUGUAGCGGUGAAAUGCGUAGAUAUCUGGAGGAACACCGGUGGCGAAGGCGGCAUCCUGGACCGAUACUGACACUGAGGAGCGAAAGCCAGGGGAGCAAACGGG